rnacentral:misc_RNA from 1 species
CAACCCUCAAGCAAUGCUUGGUAUUGGGCUCCGCUGCUCACCUAGCGGGCCUUAAAAUCAGUGGCGGUGCCGUCGGGCCCUGAGCGCAGUAAAUAUCCUCGCUACAGGGACUCGGUGGACACUAGCCAUCAACCCAAGACUCUAA